AACAGGAUUAGAUACCCUGGUAGUCCACGCCCUAAACGAUGUCUACUAGUUGUCGGGUUUUAAUUAACUUGGUAACGCAGCUAACGCGUGAAGUAGACCGCCUGGGGAGUACGGUCGCAAGAUUAAAACUCAAAGGAAUUGACGGGGACCCGCACAAGCGGUGGAUGAUGUGGAUUAAUUCGAUGCAACGCGAAAAACCUUACCUACCCUUGACAUGGCAGAAAUCCUCGAGAGAUUGAGGAGUGCUCGAAAGAGAAUCUGCACACAGGUGCUGCAUGGCUGUCGUCAGCUCGUGUCGUGAGAUGUUGGGUUAAGUCCCGCAACGAGCGCAACCCUUGUCAUUAGUUGCUACGAAAGAGCACUCUAAUGAGACUGCCGGUGACAAACCGGAGGAAGGUGGGGAUGACGUCAAGUCCUCAUGGCCCUUAUGGGUAGGGCUUCACACGUCAUACAAUGGUACAUACAGAGGGCCGCCAACCCGCGAGGGGGAGCUAAUCCCAGAAAGUGUAUCGUAGUCCGGAUUGUAGUCUGCAACUCGACUGCAUGAAGUUGGAAUCGCUAGUAAUCGCGGAUCAGCAUGUCGCGGUGAAUACGUUCCCGGGUCUUGUACACACCGCCCGUCACACCAUGGGAGCGGGUUUUACCAGAAGUAGGUAGCUUAACCGUAAGGAGGGCGCUUACCACGGUAGGAUUCGUGACUGGGGUGAAGUCGUAACAAGGUAACC
rnacentral:rRNA from 1 species